UACGUGAGGGUGCAAGCGUUAAUCGGAAUUACUGGGCGUAAAGCGUGCGCAGGCGGUUGUGCAAGACCGAUGUGAAAUCCCCGGGACUUAACCUGGGAAUGGCAUUGGUGACUGCACGGCUAGAGUGUGUCAGAGGGGGGGUAGAAUUCCACGUGUAGCAGUGAAAUGCGUAGAGAUGUGGAGGAAUACCGAUGGCGAAGGCA
rnacentral:rRNA from 1 species